ACUUUCAAAUAUACAAUCUGCUAUUAUUAACUAUAGUCACCAUGCUGCACAUUACAUCCCCAAGAUUUAACUUAUCUUGGUUUGUUUUUUAAGUGGUGGUUUGCCUGGUCAGGAGUUCAGGACAUUCCUUUCCCUGGUGAACUCAAACCAGCUGGGAGUAGAAGGCUUGUUUGACUGAUCCACCCAACCUCAGGCAGAGAAGGGGGAAGAAAGAUGGCUGGGUCUGCUCCCUCAUGCAGCUGUGAAGUGGGGGCUGCCGGCACCACACUGAGGUAGGUGGUCCAUAGGAGUUGGAGCAUUUAUGAUGGGCCCUGAUACAAGGCAGGGAGUCUACCUUAACCCGGCCCAGUAGACGUCAGUCUCCAUAGCUUCACCAAUCUGGUAAAUUAUUCCCAUGGGGGGGUGUAAGGGAGAGGUCUGCAUCAGGUGUCGCCCCAAUACACCCAUCCCCUGAGGGGCUAAGGAGGGGAUGUGGGGCUGGGAGGAGAAGGCUGUUCCACUAUAGAGGCCUCUGGUCGAUCAGAACUUGACAGAUUCCCCCAGGCUGGAUACAAACUUCCCUGGAUCUGACAUCCAGCUAGACACUUCAGCUACGAAACGGGAGGGUAAAGGAAGCAGUCACGUGUUAUUUCAACCAUCAUGCAGUCUUGCAGCUAUCCUGAGCAAGGGCUGGGUGUGAACCAGAGGAGGCAGACGCGCUGGUCCUGGGUUUCUACCCACAGUGCCAAGCUGGCCUCUGGGCUUCUGUGCUGUGAUUUCCCAAAGGUCCCUGAGGAAAUCACGGCUCCCUGCAGUCCUGCAGCCCUCUCAGGAGAAGUGAAGGUGUCCCUCGAGGAUAUUUCAGCUGGCUUUUGGUGGCCACGGAAUCAGAAGAGGAUUGGAAGCCUAGGAUACAGAUGUCCCUCGCUUGCUCCCACCAGAUAAACACCGACUCCUGAGCUUACCAGGCACCUGGAGCUAGGAACUUCCCUGGCGCACCAGCCAGGUCUAGCAGACCACUGCCACGUGUCUACAUUAGGAGACUUGGAGCAUGCAGGCAGAGGCCUCCCUCACAGCCUUGGAGCCUUCUUCCCCACGGCCUGGGUUCCUGCAGAACAGUAGGCACCAACUGAAAAGGCCUACAUGGGCUCAGCAUCACCAAAUGCCGGCCCAAGAGGUGUCCUAAGAAGAUUCAUCCGCUCACGUUUAUUAGGUGCUGUUGUGUGCCAGGCGCUGUGCUGAGCAAUUUGGAUGCUGAGCUGGUUGAAUCCUUGCAAUGCUUCUAUUAGGCAGGUACUGUUCCAUCAUCCUCAUUGUACAGGUGAGAAAACUGAAGUUCAGAGAGCUUAAUAAGCAACCUGCUCUGGGUCACACAGGAAGUGCGGGAGCUGGGGUCUGAACCAGGUCGAUGGGCCUCCAAACCUUGAGGCAUCCCCACCUUCAGUGCACGGUGAGAUGGACGGAGUAAAGGCAGGAGGUAGAGAAUUAUCUGUAUCUUCUUGGACAUCAGAGUAGAAGAGGCUA